ensembl:lncRNA
GACCAGGCCCUCCUGCGGCAGUGAGUCCUACUAAACUCAGUGAUCAGGAUGGUAAGCACUGGACAUUGUAAUCUGAGGAACUCAGAACUGAAGACUCCUGCCACUUCCAGAAGUCCCCAUGCCCCAGCUCAGGAGAAGACUCUUCAGUCAGAGUGGUCUUAAACACCCAGGCCAUGGAGGCUGUUAUGGAGUGGCAAGACACACUAGUGGGUGGGGGGAAGGUAAAAGCAGAAAAGGAGACCUGGUUGUGCCACAGUCAAUUCAUGUGGAAGGAACAUAAACGGGUGCUCACUGACUCCAUCAGCCUGCCAAAGAGAAUCCUGAACUUUCAAAUCCAAUACCUUAUUCCUUCCUCUCCAAAAAUUCUUUUUUGCUGUUUAGAGG